rnacentral:lncRNA from 1 species
UUGCCCCAUAUGCCCUAUACUAGAUACUGGGAAGGCUGACAACCCACAAACACCAGCAGAAGCAGACAAAAAAAAAUUCCUAAGAAAAUCCUGUUUUCUCUAGCCAAAGGACCAAGAAAGAGACAGCCUAGCAACACAGAAAACUUUUAAACAAUUACUCUUCUACUUCGUCUAAAUACUAUAGAAAAAUUCUGACUCCAGUCCUACUCUCACAUGCAAAGACUGAGUGAAGAGCCUAGACUCUCUUCAGAUUGUGAUGAGAUGCUCUAACUUCCCUCCAUUCACUACUGAGGUGGUAUCAGAAAACUAAAAGUAGAACUUAGACUUUUACCUCCAUCGAGCACUAAUGAGGUAGCACCCCAUCUUCCCCUUAAGAGUCUUCUCAGAGGAGGCCACGUCACACACAAAAUUUACCUGAGCUCUAUAGAGUAUCAUAACAAUACCUGCUGUAUCCAGUUUACAUAAAAAAUUAGUCAUUAUACCAUGAACAAGGAAUAUUUUAAACUGAAUGAGUAAAGGCAAUGGAUGUGAACACCAAGAUACAUAAGUAGAAUCAUCUAAGAAGUGUAAAGGAGCCAUAAAAUUGCCUCAGCAAGCAAUUGCAAACACACUUGAAAUAAAUGAAGAAAUUGAAAGUCACCAAAGCAACAAGAUAGAAGAACCAAAUGGAAAAAUUAGACAACAGCAAAAUGAAAACAUAGUACUUGAAGGUAAAACAAUAGAAGUUACUUAGUAUGAGUAACAGAAAACAAAGUGAAAGAAAGAUGAAUAGAAACUCAAGACCUGGGAGGCUAUAGCAAAAAUUAUAACAUGCAUGCAUAUCAUUAGAGUCCUUAAAAGAAUGGAAUUAGAUCAUAGGGAUAAGAAAAAGUAUUCAAAGAAACACUGGCUGAAAUUUCCCCAAGUGUGGCAAAUUUAUAUUUUUACAGAGAAUCCAAUAUAAUUUAUUGAUUGCAUUUAUAAUGAAUCCAAGCUGGGUGGAAAUCAAAUAGUUUCACGUUCCUUCUUUUUUUUUUUUUUUCUUUUUAAUACUGGGAAUUGAACUCAGGGGCACUCAACCACUGAGCAACAUCCCCAGCCAUAUUUUGUAUUUUAUUUAGAGAGAGGGUCUCACUGAGUUGCUUAAUGGCCUCGCUUUUUGCUGAGGCUGGCUUUGAACUCGGAGCUGCUGGUAUUACAGGCAUGUGCCAUUAUGCCCAGUAAGUAGUUUCUUUCUUAAAGGGAUUAUUAACUGUAGAGUGCGGUAGCACACACUAUAAUCCCAGUGACUCGAGGCUGAGACAGGCAGGAUGAUCACAAGUUUGAGGCUAGACUCGGCAACAUAGCAAUACCCUGUCUCAAUAAAAGGGUUGGGAAUACAGCUCAUUGGGGAGUAUGCCUGAGUUCAAUCCUCAUUAC